GCGGGCUACACAUGCAGUCGAGCGGAUGAAGGGAGCUUGCUCCUGGAUUCAGCGGCGGACGGGUGAGUAAUGCCUGGGAAUCUGCCUGGUAGUGGGGGAUAACGUCCGGAAACGGGCGCUAAUACCGCAUACGUCCUGAGGGAGAAAGUGGGGGAUCUUCGGACCUCACGCUAUCAGAUGAGCCUAGGUCGGAUUAGCUAGUUGGUGGGGUAAAGGCCUACCAAGGCGACGAUCCGUAACUGGUCUGAGAGGAUGAUCAGUCACACUGGAACUGAGACACGGUCCAGACUCCUACGGGAGGCAGCAGUGGGGAAUAUUGGACAAUGGGCGAAAGCCUGAUCCAGCCAUGCCGCGUGUGUGAAGAAGGUCUUCGGAUUGUAAAGCACUUUAAGUUGGGAGGAAGGGCAGUAAGUUAAUACCUUGCUGUUUUGACGUUACCAACAGAAUAAGCACCGGCUAACUUCGUGCCAGCAGCCGCGGUAAUACGAAGGGUGCAAGCGUUAAUCGGAAUUACUGGGCGUAAAGCGCGCGUAGGUGGUUCAGCAAGUUGGAUGUGAAAUCCCCGGGCUCAACCUGGGAACUGCAUCCAAAACUACUGAGCUAGAGUACGGUAGAGGGUGGUGGAAUUUCCUGUGUAGCGGUGAAAUGCGUAGAUAUAGGAAGGAACACCAGUGGCGAAGGCGACCACCUGGACUGAUACUGACACUGAGGUGCGAAAGCGUGGGGGAGCAAACAGGAUUAGAUACCCUGGUAGUCCACGCCCGUAACGAUGUCGACUAGCCCGUUGGGGAUCCCUUGAGAUCUUAGUGGCGCAGCUAACGCGAUAAGUCGACCGCCCUGGGGAGUAGGAGCAUG
rnacentral:rRNA from 1 species